rnacentral:lncRNA from 1 species
UAUCCCAAAUUUGUUUAGCUGUGUUAGCUUUGUAUUCCUCUAGUUUUGUUAAUCAUGUCCUCUUUUUCUUAUAGGUCCCUGGAUUUUCUUCAUUGCGCCGUAAUCUCCUUCAUCUUUCACCCAGGUUUUUUAUUCUUGGGUUGUGUGUAUGUGUGGGAAAGAAUGGGUGUGUGUGUGGGUGGGGUGGGGAGGGGUUGGGAAGGGUUGAGGACAUAAGAUUUGGAACCGUAAACUUUUUUGAAGGCGCUCUUUUUUUCUUUUCUUUUUUUCCAGGUUAGCGCAUCUUCCUGAAGAGGUGAAAACGACACUAGAAGAUCCAGAUAGCAGGUGAAUGCUCUCGCUUACAUAAUUUAUAUUGCACAAGUAGAUUUGCAAUUGCUACUUCACAGACACGACUAUCUUGCGAGAAAACACCAAAAUUAUUACUUUUGAAUCAGGAAGCUGUAUACUUAUAAAAAAAUUCAAUGCUGCAAAAAGGAGGAUGAUGAAAGGAAUAAAUGGAAAGACUAAAGGAAAGAUUAUACAGAUGGUUAAUAUGAUGCAUGAACUGGAGGAUUAUGUCUAUUGUAUAUUGUAGUUGUUCAAAACUUUAAAUAUGGUAACAACGUGAAUUAUGGCUUAAUCCAUAGGCUUUCUCCUUUUUAUGAUGAUAAUUGAGCACUAUUGGUUUCAUUUACGGUCCAUAAGUGAUUUGAGGUCAUUAUAAGUCUUAAUAAGAUAACAAGAAUAUAGGCCAAGGACCAGGUUAUGAAGUUUGUUUUGGAUUUAAAAUUUUAAUUUAAAAACUAACUUAUAUACACAGUAUUUGGUUUGGUAGCACAGAAUUUCAAUUUUUCAAUUUUUCAAACACCUUGUGUUGAGAGUUGAAUUGAUAAGAACUACAUUGUGGUGUACUAAACCACCCUGAAAUAAUUUUUGGGUGCAAAUAAACAUAACAAGGUUUGAUGGAAUAACACUUUGGAAUAAGAUUUGGCGAGGGUUACGCUACCAUGUACCUCCUCUCUUAACUAAGGCUACCUUCCCGAGUUAAUCUUCCCAUGGCAAAAUGGAAUAGAGACAUCAAAAAGAUAUCCCCUCAUGCCCCAGGCGAUCCUCCAAAAUACAAUACAAAUAUAUAUACUUUGGAGGUUCAAACCUGGUGAGGUCUUCAACAAAACCCGUAUAUGGCUGUACGUUUAAGUUAAUCUCCUGUUUCCAUACUUAUACUCGUUUUUCCUUAGGACUUCCAAAGUUCCCACAAUGUGGUUUUCAUCUUUAUUAUAUCAUUAUAAAUGUAUCAUAUAUGUAUAUCAUCCAUCUUCAGCAUGGUUCAUACAGUACAUGUUAAUAAACAAGGGAUGUAUCAUGCAUGCAUGCUGAUUACCUCUGACCAUGCAAGUGUAGUUAAUUAUUGUGUGCGGCUUUGGCGUAAAAUAUAUAUGCCCAACAUUAUACUGUACAUACACAUUACACAGUGUAUAUAUAUAUAUAUAUACUCCUCGUUGUAUAUAUGUAGGUUUGUAAAUGUUUGGGAAUAUCACAGAAGAAUUAAUGUAUGCGAAGCAACUUUUAGAAGAGUUAAAACUUAAAACUGGUCAAUUUUAACAAGGAGCUGACUGCUGAGGCAUGAAUGAAAUUGAGGCCAGGUGGUUGUAAAUAUAGAUUUACUUAAGUAACCCAUUUGAAUAUAAAAUGAUGACGUUGUGUAUUCUAGUUGGAUAGUCAGUAUGAAAUUCUAUUGCCAUGGUGAGUAUAAUAACAUUACUAUUAGUAUUUACUACUCUCUCAAAAUGAUUAGAACAAUCUAAUUAUUUAAUCUUUAAUCAAAAUGAUUAGAACAAUCUAAUUAUUUUUUUUUUACAAGUUGCAGUCUCGAAGUCUCGCAUCUUCGUUUCGG